rnacentral:rRNA from 1 species
GACGAACGCUGGCGGCGUGGAUUAGGCAUGCAAGUCGAACGGUAUCAUCCUUUCGGGGGUGAGAGAGUGGCGAACUGGUGAGUAACACGUAGGUUAUCUACCCUCAAGACGGGGACAACCCAGGGAAACUUGGGCUAAUACCGGAUGUGAGCAACUUUUAGUUGUUUGAAAGGUGGCGUAAGCUGUCGCUUGGGGAUGAGCCUGCGUCCUAUUAGUUAGUUGGUGAGGUAACGGCUCACCUAGGCAAUGAUAGGUAGGCGGCCUUAACGGGUGGUCGCCCACACUGGGAUUGAGAUACGGCCCAGACUCCUACGGGAGGCAGCAGUCGAGAAUAGUCUACAAUGGUCGGAAGACUGAUAGUGCGACGCCGCGUGAACGAUGAAUCCCUUCGGGGUUAAAGUUCUUUUAUAUGUGAGCAGUGCUUCUUAUAUUAACAGUAUGGGGAGAGAGAUAUUAGCAUAUGAAUAAGCAACGGCUAAACUCCGUGCCCAGCAGCCGCGGU